GGACCCCACUGCUAUCGGGAUAAGACUAAGCCAUGCAAGUCAAGCGUCUCCAAGCUAUGUUGGAGAUGCGGCGUACGGCUCAGUAACACGUGGUUAAUCUACCCUUGGGACGGGAAUAACUCCGGGAAACUGGAGCUAAUACCCGAUGGGCGGGAACGCCUGGAAUGGUCUCCCGCUGAAAUGGCGUUGAAAACAUGCUUUCAACGUUGCCCAAGGAUGAGACCGCGGCCGAUCAGGUUGUUGGUGAGGUAACGGCUCACCAAGCCUAUAACCGGUACGGGCCCUGAGAGGGGGAGCCCGGAGAUGGAACCUGAGACAAGGUUCCAGGUCCUACGGGACGCAGCAGGCGCGAAACCUCCACAAUGCACGAAAGUGCGAUGGGGUUAUCCCGAGUGCCGUCUGAUGAAGAUGGCUUUUCACUGGUGUAAUGAGCCAGUGGAAGAAGGGGAGGGCAAGACUGGUGUCAGCCGCCGCGGUAAUACCAGCUCCCCGAGUGGUGGGGACGAUUAUUGGGCCUAAAGCGUUCGUAGCCGGCUUAACAAGUCUUCCGUUAAAUCUGGCGACCCAAUCGUCAGGCUGCGGGGGAUACUAUUAGGCUAGGGGGCGGGAGAGGUCGACGGUAUUCUCGGGGUAGGGGUGAAAUCCUAAGAUCCUGAGAGGACCACCAGUGGCGAAGGCGGUCGACCAGAACGCGCCCGACGGUGAGGGACGAAAGCUGGGGUAGCGAACCGGAUUAGAUACCCGGGUAGUCCCAGCCGUAAACGAUGCAGGCUAGGUGUUGGAGCGGCUACGAGCCGCUUCAGUGCCGCAGGGAAGCUAUUAAGCCUGCCGCCUGGGGAGUACGGUCGCAAGACUGAAACUUAA
rnacentral:rRNA from 1 species